rnacentral:rRNA from 1 species
CGGAUUUACUGGGUGGAAAGGGUGCGUAGGCGGCUCUGCAAGUCAGGUGUGAAAACCAUCGGCUUAACCUGAUGGAUUGCAUUUGAAACUGCCGAGCUAGAGUGAGGUAGAGGGUGGCGGAAUUCCCGGUGUAGGAGUGAAAUGCGUAGAGAUCGGGAGGAACACCAGUGGCGAAGGCGGCCACCUGGGCCUUUACUGACGCUGAGGUGCGAAAGCGUGGGUAGCAAACAGGAUUAGAUACCCUGGUAGUC